CACGAAGUUAGCCGGUGCUUAUUCCUCAGGUACCGUCAGCCCCGCCGGGUAUUAGCCGGCAGUAUUUCGCUCCUGAUAAAAGUGCUUUACAACCCGAAGGCCUUCUUCACACACGCGGCAUUGCUGGAUCAGGCUUGCGCCCAUUGUCCAAUAUUCCCCACUGCUGCCUCCCGUAGGAGUCUGGGCCGUGUCUCAGUCCCAGUGUGGCUGAUCAUCCUCUCAGACCAGCUAGCGAUCGUCGCCUUGGUGAGCCUUUACCUCACCAACUAGCUAAUCGCACAUCGGUUCGUCCAGCCGCGCGAGGCCCGAAGGUCCCCCGCUUUCUCCCGUAGGACGUAUGCGGUAUUAGCGUAAGUUUCCCUACGUUAUCCCCCACGUCUGGGUAGAUCCCGAUGCCUUACUCACCCGUCCGCCACUCGCCACCCAUGGAGCAAGCUCCACUGUGCUGCCGUUCGACUUGCAUGUGUUAGGCAUGCCGCCAGCGUUCAA
rnacentral:rRNA from 1 species